CGUCUGUGGCAACCUUUCACGGCGGCGCGGCCUCUAGCGGCGGCGGCGACCUUGUUUCGAUUUGAGUUCGAUUUUAGUCAACGCCGGUUUUCUCCUAGCUCCGGCCACCAAAACUUCCGAUCCUUAGCUCCAUGAACUCGCCUCAAUCUUCUGAUCAUCAUACUAGAAGGAUCGCACCUGGAGUGACCGGUUUCACGUUCGUCGGAGCUCGACCGGUUUUCGAUCCGAAACCAAAACCUUUCGAUCGUGAUAUCUCGAGCUGUAGUGCAUCGUUUUGAUUGAUUCUUGAACCAGUGAGUUCGGCUUGAUGUUCUUAACAACUCUCUAGAAGGAAUCGAGGCCUGAAAUUGAAGUUUUUACGUCGAAAAUCGAGCUCGCCGGUUUCUGCAUUUCUUCGCCGGUUUCUGGAAAAUUCCGGCCACCUUCAUACUGUUCUAGGUGAUUGACGGUCUUCCUUGGUGAGCGGUUUUGGUGUGUUUUGUGAAAUUGAAGACGCAGCGGGAUUAAAGCGGGUAAUCCUGCAGGUUAGGAGAAUCAGGGCGGUGAUCGUGCGGGUUAGAGUAAUUGUUAUAGUUUUACAGUGAUUGUAAUAGUGAGGUGAGUUAAGCUCAAUUGAGCCUUACAAUUUGAUUUGGUGAGAGUGUGCUGUAAUAAAUAACUUGAGAAUUUUGGUUUAUUGUUUUAUUAAGAGGUGUGAAGUGUGGUUGUUUGUGAGAAAAUAAACUCAGGAUGUUAUUUGUAAUUUUUUUUAUUUUUCAUGCUUCGGAUUUGAAUUUGUUAUUCAAAAUUCGGGGC